rnacentral:rRNA from 1 species
UACGUAGGGACCGAGCGUUGUCCGGAAUCAUUGGGCGUAAAGAGCGUGUAGGCGGCUAUUUAAGUCCUGCGUGAAAUCCUGCGGCUCAACCGCAGACGGUCGUGGGAAACUGGAUGGCUAGAGUCCGGGAGAGGCGAGUGGAAUUCCCAGUGUAGCGGUGAAAUGCGUAGAUAUUGGGAGGAACACCAGUGGCGAAGGCGGCUCGCUGGACCGGAACUGACGCUGAGGCGCGAAAGCGUGGGGAGCAAACAGG